AACGCCGAAUCUAAAUAUUAAAAAGUUAAUAUUUAGUAGUAAUAAACAGGGUGCAGUGAAUACAUAACUAUUAUACAGAAAAACAUGCCCAUAACAAACAGCUUGAUCAUCACUUACGUUAAGGCUCCUUUUUAUUAACAUGAGGAAAGUAUUAUAUUUGCUUGCUAGAUUUUCCUACCAUAAAAAGUCCAGGAUUGUUUGAAAACAAAAAGCACUUUUAUUAAAUUUGGACUUCAAUCUAAAAUUAGUUGAGUCUCUAAUUUCUCUAUCCAGAAUCAAAAAUCUGUUCCUCAGUUUUGCUUGUAUUUAUUGGUGAUCUUUCUGCUUAUAUUAUAGAGCCCACCUGAUAUUUUUUCUGUGUUUUUCUCUACCGCACUAAUCAUUACUUCUGUAACAGCA